CAUAGUUAAUAUUCAUAACUUCAGAUACAAAAAUGAUACAUGCAUACAAAUAGCCUAACCAUACUCAGCAAAUCAUAACUUUUCUUUUGAUACCUUACUUUGACACACUUUGUGUAAGAUCUGUUGCAAUUGUAUAACGGUAGCAACAAUGAUCUACGUGGUCAUAUUUUAAUCAGACAAUGUCACACCUCCAACGCAAAAUUGAUGCAGGAAGGGGUGUCCCAGACACUGCCGAAUGCAUCAUAGGGGCUUCCCAUUCUUGGUUCUAUAUUUCUACAGCUUCUGACCCAGAAUUAGAAGUAUCAGUGUAUAACAGAAAAGAUUAAUCAAAAUCAUGUUUGGCUAAAACAGGCUUUUUCUUUGUAAGGUUCAUUAUGGAAGUAACAAUAUUAUUGAAUUCUUUUACAAACCAAGGUAAAACUUGGUUAGAUCAAUAGUGGAUUGGAUGUGCUCUUGCAGCAUAAUUUCUGCAUGUCUCUCAUGAUCUUGCCAUGAACUAAUGAAAAUAGUUAAUUUAUCCAUGCAAGCUCUGGCAAAUGUUUGGAACCCAAUUAACAUCAAGUCAAUGUGGAUAUUAAUGUUCUCCAUAGUGUAGGAAUCUUGGCAUUUAGCCAGGAAAGCAAUAGGGUGGUGUGCCUUAGUUUCCCUUUUCAUACAGCACAUUAUGUCUAUAAUGCUUUCUCUGAUGUGAAAAGUUUUAAGACUGGUUACAGGCACUGGCUGUGAAAUAUCAGUAUCACAAGAUCUUUUAACAUAAAGUGUGUUGUCAUGUAAAGAAACAGUAACCCAUAAAGGCUUCUAGCACAUAGUGAGUUCUUAUGCACCACUCCCAAGGGUUUUUCCAAAAGAUCAUGCACACUGUACGUUUUUACAGUUUUUGGUAUCCGCAACAAACUAGUCACAAGAGUUAACAUUAGCAAUAAUAUUAACAUCAUAUCUGUCCCAGGUGUACAUUUAUAAGCAUUUUUGUCCUGCCAUACCUCUGGCUCAGUACUGUUGAGGUUUUGGCAUUUUAGGGCUAACCUGUGGUUUCCAUUAGCAAGAUGAAGUUUUUCCCUUCCUCCCUGUCCUGAAGGGUCAAAAUCUGAGCUAUUUUGUGUAACAGAAUCCAUUGGCUGGCUAGGUGUGUCCUUUUUGCUAACAAUUAUGGUAUGGGUAAGUCUUUUCUUCCCCUGUCAGUCAGAUAAUCUGCAUCAACACAGACACUAGUUUGUUUACUAGUUUUCAGAUUCUUAACCAUUACCAUCUCCAAGGCUGGACUCUGUCUUAAAGAGAUACCAUCCAUUUUCACUAGCACGUUAGACUCAAGGUUCUUUUGUCCUUUAAUUACCAAUCUCUGCUUCCACAUGGAAUCAGAUGUCAAGUCCACUAAGAGGCUACAAGUCAUAUCAAAGUAUCUAGGAGUGAAAGUUUGCCUGCCAUCUCCUGUAUUCUCAAGAGAUAACUGCACAGCUGUCCUGCUCUGUAGAUUCAACUACUCAGUCCUCCACUGAACCUGAGACCCAGACUGUUCACUCACAGAAUCAGUAUGGAGACAUUCAUGUUCCAACAACAUCGUCUUCCCAACAAGCUGGUCAAGCGCAGCCACUUGGUCAUCACCAUAGGGCUGUUCCAAUUCCCUGACAAUUUUCAUUCCAUCUGACGCCUUCUCUAAGUUAUUCACACUGGGUCUUUCUAAAACAAAGUCAGUGGAUCCAUUUUCAACAGAAAAAUUCUGGCUGUUAAGAACUGAAACAAAUCUCUCAAUCAACUGUUGCCUUCUACAGACAGAAAUUCAUCUUGAUCUACCUCAGUUAAUUCACUUCCACACCCCUCAGUUACAGCAAACUGCUUG